CACUCCUGAGGCUUUCCACCCAUGAAGCCCUCAGGCUGACGGAUGUCGCCCUGGGCUUCUGCAGGGCUGGGCCAUCAAGGGCCCAGGAUCCUCCUGGACAAGCAGCAGCUGAUGUUGGAUGAGUCCGGAGGGGGCCUUGUGAAGCCUGGGGCGUCCCUGACCCUGGUCUGCAAGGCCUCUGGAUACACCUUCAGCAGCGUCGGCAUGAACUGGGUGCGACAGGCGCCCGGGAAGGCGCUUGAGUGGGUUGCGAAAAUUAACAGUGGUGGUAGUAGCCCAUGGUACGCGUCGGCGGUGAAGGGACGCUUCACCAUCUCCAGGAACAACGGGCAGAGCACGCUCACCCUGCAGAUGAACAGCCUCAAGGCCGAAGACACCGCCACCUACUACUGUGCGAAAGGUGCUGGUGAUGAUGCUUUCAGUGAAAUUGAUGGUUCCGGUAAGAUUGGUGGUGUUGGUAACUUUGAUGCUGUUGUCGGUGAUGUUGAUGGCAUUAAUAAUUAUCAUGGUGUCGAUGAUGUCGACGGUGUUGAUAAUGAUCAUAGAACCAUGGACUCAUAAAAACACAAGUUUGGA